GCUCCUGUAACUCAGUUGGUAGAGUGUGAGGCUGUUAAGAAAAAGUGCAUGCACUUUGACGCGUGCCACCUCAAAGUCGCAGGUUCGAAACCUGCCGGGAGCG
rnacentral:tRNA from 1 species